UGAAGGCUAUCCACUAGAACUCGUUGUGCCGUAUCUUCAUUCUUCAAUGUGGGUAAAUCGACUGGUGAUCGAUGGAGAGAGCAUUGGAAGUCCCUCGCAGAUGGUGAUAUGCCCCUUUUCUCCUCCUCUCACCACCGGAGUCAAGCCAUUUCCUCCAAGAUAACGAAAACGGGUCAAAAUUAUUCAAUAACUGCACGAUUAACGUUCAACCUUCAUUUUUUUGGAACAAGGCAAAGACAAAAAAACAAUUAAUGGGUUUCCUUACAGUUUAGUGUGGUUAGGUUAUUAUUAAUGCGUAAAAUAACAAAACGCACGUAGUCCCUUUUCUCGCCGCCUCUGAAUCCAUAGAAGAUAAUGUUUUCACAUUAGUCUAUUGAAAUCCCAAGUCCUCACUGGCUGUCUGGCGUUCCUUGUCUCGCGGCUCAAGUCUGAACGUUCUUCUCCAACUACGGAUAAUUCACUUCACUUCAGGCGAGUGGAGAGCGCGAGAACCCCAACACGGAGCAGUUAACGUCAAACCCAACGGGCGGAGGCUUUCCCUGAUGCCUGUUGACUGACAACUCCCUCCUGGUUCCCGGUACGUUCCAGAAUGUCUCUCUGGCAAACGGAAGAGUUAGUCUGAUACAAUCCCAGUCCCCCGCGUGGGAAAAACAGUGAAUGUUUGUCGAAAUGGCAAUUUAACCUCGAAAACCGGAAAACUAUAUAGCUUACUUCCCGCUGUUUAUUUCCGUUGAAAUUCCGCAGAAAACAAUCAGCUGCGCAAUUAUCACUUGGUGGAUAACUAGGCGCGCGCUUGUGUGUGAUUCAAAAGGAGCAGCGGCGGCGGCGGAGCGACAGGGACAGGCGCGUCGCUGAGUGAGGCGCAGAGGAGAAGGGGAAGAGCACAGAUACAGUACUGUAUUUAUGUAGCUCUCUUUCAAUCUGUCAUAGAAAACACAGUGAGAGACAGACACACACUCACUCCUAGCACACAGGGGAAAUGCCAACGGAAAUAGGCCUACACACAUCAAUAGAAGAACUGACUGGCUGGCAGCACAGGGGCACGAGACAAGUCUAGGUCAACGUUAAAUGUUCUAGAAGAAUCUCCAUGGAGAUGUGGGCUGUGAUUUGUUUAAGUCACUGCCGAAUUAAUACGGCUUAAAGAGAAAUCUGAGGGGGAUAUAACCAAGCCCUGUUGCCAUGCCAACAAUUAUUCUUGCGGAUAAAGAAAAUAAAUGGACUGAAGCAUAAAGAUUGUCUUUUGAAGUCUGAUGGUUACCUUGGAAAUCUAGGCCCAGUGUUGCUGAUUCAUAAUAUAGGGUACCAUCUUUCUCAUGCCUUCAAAUUCUGUUCACUGUUAGAUGGGAGAUUUAGCAAGAGGGACAGACUUCCAGUAGCAAACCUCGUGAGAAAGACGAGAGCAAUGACUGAACUCAACCAAAGCUCUCUGUUUCCUAUGAGAGAGGACAUAGAGCGAGCGUAACAGAUCAGCACCAUGGACAGCGAGUACAGAGACUGAAGCUGUUCUGAGCAACAUACUGCAUAUAUAAUUCAGGCAUGGUGUGUGGUCGUUGGACACUCAUAGCACAUCAUUCUACAAGUGAUUUCCACCGAGUACUACUGUUUCAUUUGUCAUCUGUGCUGACAACCAAUAAGACCCAUGUUAUUUAGUGAUAUGGGGUUGACGCAUAAGCCGUGGUCCCCGCGGUUAUAUCUGCAGGGCUGACGGGUUUAGGGUCAAUACAUGAUAACGUCAAGCCACGGAGGCAAAAAGGACAAUGUCGGAGUUUGAUUCAAUACAAGCUGUGAAAUGAGAGCUGAAAAUGAAGAGAACGGUAGUGUUUGGGAAAGAUUUGGUGAAGUGGUGAAAGAGGAUGAUAGCAGUGCUGGCUGUGUUAUGUGUGAUGAUUGUGAGGCGCAACAAAUUCGACAGUCACAAGAUGGGAUUUCAAAUAGGCCUAUCGCAUGUCAAGGGAACUGUAGCCUACUGUUCAGGUUUCUAUUUCCACGCUGAAGAUGUCUAUAUUAUUGGUCCGUUAAUUAAAAAGGGACUAGUAAAGGCCCAGUGCACUAUUUUUGUGAAAAAUGUUAACUAAAUGUAUUUGAGUGUUUACCAGCAUUUGUAACUUGAGUUUGAUAACUAUCGCUACAAAACAGUUACUCUGAUAAUACUUGUGGAGUAUUAAAAUACUAUAUAUGUUUUCCAGUUUCUUGAAAUACUUUGCAAAUACAUCUUAUUUCUACAUGAAAACUGUUAUGGUCUAUUCAUUCAUUUUCUGUAGACGCUCUUUUCCAGAGCAACUUACAGUUGUCCAUACAUUUCAUACUGGUCUUUUGCGGGAAUGGAACCCACAACCCUAACAAGCAGCAUGCUCUACCAACUGGGCCACAUCAUAUCAUCACACACCACUUGAUGUCUCAGUGUACUGUAUUGUGCUUUGUUUUUCUUCAUGGUUUUUCUUCUUUGUUUUUCUUCAUGGUUUUUCUUCUUUGUUUUUCUUCUUUGUUUUUCUUCAUGGUUUUUCUUCUUUGUUUUUCUUCAUGGUUUUUCUUCUUUGUUUUUCUUCUUUGUUUUUCUUCAUGGUUUUUCUUCUUUGUUUUUCUUGAUGGUUUUUCUUCUUUGUUUUUCUUCAUGGCUUUUCUUCUUUGUUUUUCUUCAUGGUGAUGGAAAGUCUACAAGUCCAACCUAGAUGACCAGCCUCUGUACAAUAAAGUAAUGUACAUUUACAUUAAGUGGUUUGUAAUGGUAAAUUAAUACAUAAAAAGUGGUUGUUUUCCAUGUUAUUUGUUCAAUAAAAAUAUUUAAUUUGUUGUGAAUGUUUUGUGUCUUUGCCCAUAACUUUGCACCUUUUGAUGUAAAUGUUUGAGGACAG
rnacentral:lncRNA from 1 species